rnacentral:rRNA from 1 species
UACGUAGGGGGCAAGCGUUGUCCGGAAUUAUUGGGCGUAAAGAGCGCGUAGGCGGUCCGGUAAGUCGGCUGUGAAAGUCAAGGGCUCAACCCUUGAAAGCCGGCCGAUACUGUCGGACUAGAGUCCGGAAGAGGCGAGUGGAAUUCCCGGUGUAGCGGUGAAAUGCGCAGAUAUCAGGAGGAACACCGGUGGCGAAGGCGGGUCUCUGGGCCGAUAUUGACGCUGAGGAGCGAAAGCGUGGGGAGCGAACAGG